GGGGGCGACUUGGUCUCGACAGGGGUUGCGAAGCAGUGCAGGGCAUACCGAGGACUGGUUACCUCGUAAAACCAUCCAGAUAGCAAUAAAUGCUAACGAUGAAGCUUACGCUCUCGCAGCGUAAUACCUAGAAACUUAAUAACUUUCUAGCUCCACACCGCCUCGUCCCUGGGGCGGGCCGGCAACGGCAGUGGAGUCACUCACAGGGAAUCGCGUUACGUCGGGUCACUUGGCGCAACGUUAAAAAUAGGUGACUCGCUUUGCCGAAGCGCGUGCGUCCGCGUCGGCAGGGUCAAAACCAAAUGGCUGCACUAAGUAUGUAGAACUGUCUGUAGAGGACUUCUGGACGCGGGUUCGAUUCCCGCCGCCUCCACCA
rnacentral:tmRNA from 1 species